rnacentral:lncRNA from 1 species
GUUUGUUAUAAAAGAAAAAUCCGAGAUUCUUUUCUCCAUCUGAUAUUUCGCUGAUUUUUGCUAUUAUCCCCCCCCCCCCCCCCAAAAAAAAAAAUUAAACAUUGCAUGGAAAUCUAAAUGAGAAUUCAAGGAGUAGGUCAUUCUCAAGUUUGAUUUUAUUUAGAUAGUUGAAUAGUUUUUAAUGUAACACCUAUCACAUAAAUAAUCUUAUGUCGUGUUUUUAAGACGAAUUAUAAAGAUGUAUGCCUAAUGUAUUCUAAUUCAUUCCGGGUAAGGUUUUUAGUAAGGUUUUUAGUAGACCGUUUCCUCCGGGUUGAUAUUCCCAACAUGCAGCCUGAAAUGUUCUCCAUGCUGUCGACUGACAAAUCUCAAGUAUUAGCAAAGUAAAAAUAAUUGGACUUUAUUGAAAAAAAUAUUGCCCAAAUGUCGGGAUGGAUGGCAUACGUGAAACGUGAAAACAUUUUAUAAUACAAUAUAAAAAUAAUCAUAAAAUUAUGAAUAAAUGAAUUAUUAUGCGCCAAUUUAUUCAUUCACGGCAUAUUGCUCAGUUGCGUAUACAUGUAAUGAUUUUGAUACGAUGUGAACUCCAUUUAUUUGGGUAUUUUCAAGUACCUGCAGGUUACUUCAUUUCGACGUCUUAGACAUAAACGUCACAAAUAACACUAUUUUUUUAAUGACGUCAUAUACUUUAACGGUACAGUUUGAAAAUAGAAUAACAAUGUGUUUAUAAUGUCAACUAUGUAAACUUAAUGUUUACAAAGUCAAAGACAUAUAUGGUCUUGAAUGUGUAUUCAGAGUAUGCGGAAAAUAUGCACUUUACUUCGAAAAAAUAGGGUUUUUAUAAUUAUUUGGGACUGUAAGAGUUUUAAAAGUGUGUAUAAACAGAACGAAUUCUACAAUAUAUAUAUAAUUUAAAAAUAAAAAUAAAGAGGUAAGCAUCAUUAAGGUCAUCUGCAAAAGUGAUAAGAAAACCAUUAAAAUAUACCCCACAUGCAAUUAGAUAUAAAUGCUAAAAGUUACAUAAGAGUUAGUUAAUAUCUGAUUACUAACAUUAAUUUCACGAGUUUUUUUUCUGCACAAAAAUCAAGGAGAAAGCAAGAGAGAGAAUGACAACUUUAUGUGAACAUGCAUAUUCAAUCUCAGUUACUGUUUCUGAUUUUUUGAUGGGCGUGUCUGCUACAUAAACCGCGCGAAGAAGAUGGAAGUUAACGGUUUCGCUGAUUGGUUGACGGAAUGUUACGGAAAUAGCGGAAACUGUCGAAGUGAAAAUCACAAUAACGACUCCCUGUUGUUUCCAGGAGACGGAAAAUGGACGGCAUAACAAUGUUAAACCUCCGUAAGGAUCGGAAUGUGGGCGGUACAUGAUGAUCAAUGGAGCGCUUAGUUAAUAAAUAAUGUUAAAUGGAAUGGAUGGACAGUUAUCGAAUGUAAUUUCUUGGUCAAAUGAUUUAAAUCAUAGCGGUAAAAAAAAUAUAACGUUUUUAAGGCAGACAGGACCCCCUGAGCCAGACUUAGACUAUUUUGGUGCGUCAUAUCCAAGUUGUCCAAUUCCUCUUCAUUUUCUCUGUCAUCUACCAGUGACGUCAAAACGGUGUUUUUUGCGCUGUUUAGUUCUGGCCAUUUUGUACUAUCUGUUAACCAAUUUGGUCCUUUCCGCCAAAGUAUACUCUGGUCAAAUUGUUCAAUUGUAAGUCCUCUUGUAAGAAGAUCUGCCGGGUUGUUAUCAGUAGGGCAAUACCGCCAUUUGUAUGGAUGCGUCAAUUCUGUUAUUUCCUUCACUCGAUUAGCUAUAAAACGUUUCAAAGUCUUCGUAGAUGUUAGCCAAUGAAGAACAAUGCUGCUAUCUGACCAAAAUACAAUUUUUGGAUAAUUAAGUGUUGAAUGAAGAUGUGCAGCUAGUCGUGCGCCGAUGAUUGCUGCCAUAAGUUCAAGUUGUGGGAGGGUUAAACAUUUGACUGGUGCUACUCUGGUUUUCGCCAUUACUAAAGUUGUUUCGUUUUCGUUACUCAAAUAAGCUGCUGCGCCGUACGCCUUUGGACUUGCGUCUGUAAAUACAUGAAGUACUAAUUCUGUUGAUGCUGAUGGCUUGCUAAAAUAAUAUCGAGGAAUAGUGAAUUGUAUUGCCUUUUCCAAAUCUUUGGUCAAAUCUAUCCACGUAGUCUUUAAAUUAUCUGGUAUAAGUUCGUCCCAAUCUAAUCCACA